UGUCGGGGAACCAGCCCACCAGGUGCGGAGGAAAAUAACGAAGAGUCAUGGGUGAAGGUUUAAGCAAGGAGUGAGCUCUGUCCCCCAGCAGCCUUGCAUGUUUAUUAGCCUUGCGCACAUUACAUCAUGUUGCAUAUACACGUGUAGCACUCGGGUGGAAAAACAGCUAGGGUUUGCAUUUCUUAGAAUAACUAUUCUCUACCAGGACAUAACUCCAGACAGCAUGACAGCCUUGCGGUUAGGCAGCGACAGUGACCCAGGCGUGUGGGGGGAACAAGUCAACAGAGUCAACAGAUGUUUCCUCUUGCACAAUCUUGCACAAGGGUGCUUAUUUUUUCUAUUGCACCCCACAUGCCCUCCUUUUUUAUUAUUUAAUCAGAGUCAUAAAUUUCAUUCCGAGGCAGAAGCUCACCAGGGUCGCACACAGCGCGCUGGUAACCAGGUAGGCCGUCCAUCCAGGUCCACUGCCGCGUAGCCGCGUCCCCAGGAGAUGAGUGGCACAGGACCAUGCCAUGUUGGAUCAGGUAGCUGUCUGUAAGACACAAGAGGCCGAGCCAAAGGCUCUGCUUUUCGAAAAUGAAUCUCAGCCGGUGUAUAUUCCCUAUUAUGGGGAUACAAAAGAUGGUUAAGAGUGAAUAAAACAGUAUGCACAAUUGAAAGAAUCUCGGCGGAGGGGGCAUUUCGACCUCCAAGUUGUUUGGACAGCAGUGUCUUGAAGGUCAAGUGUGCCCUCUCCACAAUCGCCUGUCCUGUUGAAUUAAAAGGCAAACCAUGGAUUAAUUUCACAUUCCAUAAAUCACAAAAGGAUGAGAACUGAGAGGAAAUAUAGGCUGGGCCAUUAUCCGUUUUAAUGCUUUGUGGCUUACCCAUCACAGCAAAACAGCGCAGGGUGUGCUGAAUGACGUGACGAGCGGUCUCACCCUUCAAUGGGGUGGCCCAGAUAAAUCCAGAUGAGGUGUCCACUGUCAAGUGAACUUUUGAAAAUGGGGCGAGCAGAGGGGUGUGAGUGACAUCCAUCUGCCAAACCGCAAGAGGGACGUACCCCUAGGGUUCACCGCAUCAAAGGAAAUCAUGGUUGGAGCCUUAGAACAGGUAGGACAUUGAGAGACAAUGUCUCGUGCCUGUGCAAUAGGGAUUUUAAACAUUUUUGCCAAAACUUUAGCAGGCUGGUGAAAGGUAGAAUGAGAGAGAAUAGGGUCAGAAAACAAAGAAAACACUUCAGAUCGCAGUGCAGCGUCUGCCACAGCAUUUCCCUGAGCCAAAAACCCUGGGUGAUUGGUGUGGGAACGAAGGUGUGCAACAUAAAAAGGAUGACGGCGUUCUUGAAUAAGAUACUGCAAGGUAGAAAAAAGAACAAACAAAUCAGCAUCUAACGCAGGCGUGAUAUAAGAAACAGGCAGGGAAGACAGAAGGCGAUACACAUAUUGUGUAUCAACAAGCAAAUUAAAAGGUUUGUCAGGAAAGAGUUGAAAGGCAAGGAUUACAGCAGCAAGUUCAGCCCGCUGGGCGGACCUCUGUUGCUCAGUAAAUUCAGUUUUCCAUUUUCCACCCUCCUCCCAUGCCACCACCCCCCGCGUUUUUGACCCAUCAGUGAAAAGGGUAAGGGCAGAGGGGAUGGGGGUUGGAGAAAGAGCAGUUUUUAAAGUAUAGACAGUUUGAGAAAGAAAAGCCAAGCGUGGAUCAGAGGGGGGAUUAUGCGUGAUGGUUCCCAAAAUCCACAAGUGCUACUUGAGUAGCCACGGAGGUGGAAAUCAGGUGUUGUGUGUCUGUGAGUGAAAAGGCAGGUAAAUUUUUCAACGUCCAGUCCAGAGAGGGCUUUUGCUCGAGCGCGCCCUUUAAUUACCAAAUCCAUUACAGCCGCUGGAGAGGAAUAAAUGUUACGCGGUGGAGUAUGCGGAAGGUGGAUCCAUUCCACAAUGUUGACACCCGAGGAGGCAGCCGAUUUCUGUGAGUAGAGAAUAGCUGUAGGCAGCAAAGGUGUGGAAAAAAUUGCCAAGGAUAACUGCACAUUGUGCAGAGUGUCUAUGCGAUCCACCAUUCGGUCUCUUAAUAAAGCAUUAACCUGUUGUAAGGCUUGUAGCAUUUCUUCUGUAACUGGGAUGACUUCUCCGGGUAGUUUGUGUCCUUGUAAGGCAGAAAACAAUGGUGACAAGGUGCUAGUAGGCAGAUUAAGGUAAUUCUUAAUCCAAUUCAGGUGUCCCAAAAGUUGUUGAAGGUCAACCAGCCGUAGGCGGGCAGGAAAAGACAAUUGGGGAACAACCGGAAUAGCAGCUUGUUGUGUCAAUUUAUGUCCAAGAUAUAACAUAGGCAAAGUUUGCUGAACCUUAUCUGGGGCAAUACACAGUCCAAAAUCUGUCAGGGCAGAUGUAAGGUCUCUUAAUAAUUCCACUGAUAUGUGCUUCGCAGCCACAAGGAUAUCAUUUGGGUGGAGGCUUUGACAAGCUGGCGUUUCUCCCCCGACACCCAAAACUUGGGCAGCUGCCUUCGUGGGCCAUUCGGGAGGCCAGUCUUGUUUAGCAAUCACAGUAACGUCUGCCCCUGUAUCCAGAACCCCCUCUACCUCACGUCCACCCAGUGUCAUUUUUAAUGUAGGGCGCUGAGCUGUGAGAGGCAUUGCAGCAGCAAUUAAGGGGGGAUUUGUAGGAGUUGUGGCAUCCGCAGAGAGCAGUAUGACUUUAGCCACUGGCGUGCCAGAUGAAAGACCUAAGAGGGGGGCUGCUUGUUUAAUUGCAGUCCCCAGUGGCGUCGGCGGAGGCUGAUAAUCUGGUGGUCGUGGCGGAGUAAAAGGUGGUGGUUGAAGCUGUGCAGCCGGAUAUAUGAAAGGCAUAUUCAGGACUGUUUCUUGUUGUGGUUGCAACGAAGCCAAGAGGAUGUUUUUGGGCGUAAGAGUUGCCAUGCAGCCACGGACUUUAGCCCAGGCACUGAGGACGUGAACAUUUAUGCGGCCAUGGCCAUGAAAGUGGUCGCCAAUUCUGUUCCAUGCUGGAAUUUCCCAUGUCCCGUCCUCAGGGAACCAUGGACAAUGUUCAUCUAUUGCCAGAAUCAAUGCAAUUAGAUCACCUUCAGGUACUUGCUGUUUAUUUUCCCGAAGGAGGUGCUGCAUGUCUUUUAAAAAUUGUUUCUGAGGGUUGGAGAGCGCAGAACCCAUGAUAAAAAUAGAAAAAUAGCUACUCACCGGGGAUCCGAAGAUGAGAGGCGCCUUGAGCCACAGCCGGGCGGGUGAGUAGCAGGGAGGAGCGUCUUUGACAGCACGCGUCCUGGAAGCCGUUCAGGCAAUCACACGAGGCACCAUUUGUCGGGGAACCAGCCCACCAGGUGCGGAGGAAAAUAACGAAGAGUCAUGGGUGAAGGUUUAAGCAAGGAGUGAGCUCUGUCCCCAGCAGCCUUGCAUGUUUAUUAGCCUUGCGCACAUUACAUCAUGUUGCAUAUACACGUGUAGCACUCGGGUGGAAAAACAGCUAGGGUUUGCAUUUCUUAGAAUAACUAUUCUCUACCAGGACAUAACUCCAGACAGCAUGACAGCCUUGCGGUUAGGCAGCGACAGUGACCCAGGCGUGUGGGGGGAACAAGUCAACAGAGUCAACAGAUGUUUCCUCUUGCACAAUCUUGCACAAGGGUGCUUAUUUUUUCUAUUGCACCCCCACA